rnacentral:rRNA from 1 species
GUGAGGAAUCUUCCACAAUGGGCGAAAGCCUGAUGGAGCAACGCCGCGUGAAGGAUGAAGGUCUUCGGAUUGUAAACUUCUUUUAUGAGUGAAGAAUAUGACGGUAACUCAUGAAUAAGCACCGGCUAACUACGAGCCAGCAGCCGCGGUCAUACGUAGGGUGCAAGCAUUAUCCGGAGUGACUGGGCGUAAAGAGUUGCGUAGGCGGUUAUGUAAGCGAAUAGUGAAACCUGGUGGCUCAACCACACAGACUAUUAUUCGAACUGCAUAACUCGAGAAUGGUAGAGGUAACUGGAAUUUCUUGUGUAGGAGUGAAAUCCGUAGAUAUAAGAAGGAACACCAAUGGCGUAGGCAGGUUACUGGGCCAUUUCUGACGCUAAGGCACGAAAGCGUGGGGAGCGAACCGGAUUAGAUACCCCGGUAGUCC